AGAUUAGCCGGAACAUGCUGGAACUUCUAAUUCCUGUAAGGGGGUUCAACUCCUCCAUAAUCUU
rnacentral:tRNA from 1 species